UCACAGAAGACUUGGCGCCAGAUUAUAGCUCUAACUCCGGCCUAGGAAAAAGUCUCGUGCAAGAGGAUGAAUUGAAAACUUCCCAUGCCUUAGAGACUACAGUAUGUGUAAAAAAAAUAUUCUGUUUUUUAAUUGUGGAAAUUCAUUUAUGUUUCUCUCUAAUUAACAUUGAAAAUUAUGUGGUAAAACUUUAUUUGGCUUGAUUUUUAAAGGGCUCUAUUAAGAUAUAUAUUGUUUUACUGUGUCUAUCCUGUGCUAUUAGCCACCAACUUGGAUUGAUUAUGGUGUAAUUUUUAUUUUGCACAAUUGUGAUUAUUGUGGGAACUUGUGCUAUUAGCCAACAACUCCUUGAAGUAAUCCUUGAACUUGGAUUUAUUAUGGUGCAAUCAUAUUUAUCUAGUUCAUAUAAAGUUGUUUCUAUAAAUCUUUUUUGUGCUACAAAAAAUUAUUAGUUGAUAUGUAAUUGGUUACAAGCAGGCUGCAGUUGCUUCUGGACCACUUGUUGAACCUUCCCAGGUGAUGAGGGAAACCGACCUUUCUCCAGGACAACCUUUGCAACCAGCUUCAUCUUCUGGAAGUCUUGGUGUUAUUGGUCGAAGAAGUGUAUCUGAUCUCGGUGCUAUUGGAGAUAACAUCAGUGCAUUAACUGCAAAUUCGGGAGGAAUGCACGAUCAGAUAUACAAUUUGCAGAUGCUCAAGGAUGCUUAUUAUGGACUUCCUCAACCCAAAGAUUCUGAACGUGCAAGGACCUAUACUCCAGUAUGCAGCUAGCUCAUCUACUAUAUAUAUAUAUAUAUAUAUAUAUAUAUAUAUAUAUAUAUAUAUAUAUAUAUAUAUAUAUAUAUAUAUAUAUAUAUAUAUAUGUUUUUCCAUCCAUGAGUUUCUCUUCAGUACUUCUAUAGACCAUCUGCUAAAUGUAGUUUAAUAAGUCUGCAUAUGUUAUUUAUGCUAUUUCUCUUCACAUUGAGGAGUAGUAAGCUGUUUUACUACCGAACAAAGUGUGCUCUCCCACAGGGCUAUACGAGUUUGACAUCUCUUUCCUGUUCUUUUACUUCUUGUUCUUUUACUUCUGAUCAUCUGCAGGACUUUGACUUCUCUUUAUUCAGUCAUCUUUGCAUGGUGUUGACAUCUAUGCUAUUUUAUAUCUCUGCUAUGAUAUAACUAGAUGGUCUGCAUAUGUUAUUUAUGCUAUUUCUCUUCACAUUGAGGAGUAGUAAGCUGUUUUACUACCGAACAAAGUGUGCUCUCCCACAGGGCUAUACGAGUUUGACAUCUCUUUCCUGUUCUUUUACUUCUUGUUCUUUUACUUCUGAUCAUCUGCAGGACUUUGACUUCUCUUUAUUCAGUCAUCUUUGCAUGGUGUUGACAUCUAUGCUAUUUUAUAUCUCUGCUAUGAUAUAACUAGAUGGUAUCCUUUCCAGGCAACAACCUCAGCUUCCGUCCAGCAAACUCCUCCUUCCCUCGACCAGGUGGAUGAAACAGCUUUCCAGGAUGAUGCAGUUGCUAGAACUCCACCUCCUAAAAGUAGUUCCCUCAGUAUUUCUGCACCACAACCGCCAGCAUCUGGCCUUGCAACUUCUGCCAUCACAAGUUGGUCAACUAUAACUUUGCUGGUCUAUGAGUUCCUCACGUAUUUUUUUGGGUUAAGUUCCUAUUUUGUGCUUCUUAAAACUUAGGUGCCGGCAGUGCUUCAUCCCCAGUAGCUGUAUCAAGUCCUAUAAAAGAAUUGAAGAUCGCAAACUUCCCUGGUCGUAAAUCAUCACCAGCUCUUGCUGAAACUGGAUUAAGGGCUAUUGGUAAAGGUGGAUUGCUAAGUCAACCAACUUCUAACAUCCUUCCCAGUUCUGGAAACACAAUUUCCAGCAAUGGUACCAUUCCUUUGGGUUCUGAAAUUGGGAAAAGGAAUAUUUUGGUAUCCGAUGAUCGAUCCGCGAGUAGUGGUAUUGCACAGUAUCUUGUAUCUCCCCUAGGCAAUAGAGUAAUCUUGUCACAAGCUGCCAAGGCUAGUGAUGGACUUGGAUCAGCUGAUACUGGAAAUGUUAGCGAUGCUGCGAUUAUGGGCAGCAGGGUUUUCACUUCUCCUGUUGUUCCUGGUAUGCAGUGGAGGCCCGGAAGUUCCUUCCAGAACCAGAAUGAAGCGGUAUGUUAUUGAUUUAUUUUAUGACCUUUCAUCCCCCUUCCAGCAUUUUCGUCUUUCUUUUGAGUUUUCUGCAAGGUAUGAAGGAUUUGAUUGGAUUAUGUCAAUGGCGCAAGAAGAGAAUGACUUGGGUUCAUGUGCGCUUUAGUAUUUGAUUUAGCUCUUCCAGCACUUUAUGUUAAACCUAAAAAUUUGUAAAUAGGAGAUAUGAACUGAAUACAAUUACACUAGUACAGUGAUAAGUUUUGUUUGUCAAGAAACAAAGCAGAUACAUAUUAGGGAUUCAACUGGUAAUAGGUACAACAUAAGAAGGAGAUAGAUUGAAACAAAAAUGUGACCUAAUGGGGAAAAGUUGAAGUAUGA
rnacentral:lncRNA from 1 species